CGAUGUGGAGCGAAUCCAGAAAAUAAUGUCCCAGUUCAGAUUGCAGGCUGCAACUCGCCUGCAUGAAGUCGGAAUUGCUAGUAAUCGCAGAUCAGCAUGCUGUGGUGAAUACGUUCCCGGGCCUUGUACACACCGCCCGUCACACCAUGGGAGUCGGUAACACCCAAAGUUGGUAGUCUAACCGCAAGGAGGACGCCGCCUAAGGUGGGAUUGAUAAUUAGGGUGAAGUCGUAACAAGGUACC
rnacentral:rRNA from 1 species